AGUUGUAUGGCGCAGUGGUAGCGCGCUUGUUCUUGUAACGGGAGGAUUUGGGUUCGAUUCCCGGUGCGACUU
rfam:Gaeumannomyces graminis var. tritici R3-111a-1 unplaced genomic scaffold supercont2.3, whole genome shotgun sequence.